rnacentral:rRNA from 1 species
GACGAACGCUGGCGGCGCGCCUAACACAUGCAAGUCGAACGAUUAAGGCACCCUCGGGUGGGGUUCACGUGGCGCACGGGUGUGUAAAACGUGUGCAUCAUCCGCCCCUGACUUUGGUAUACACUGGAAACCGUGGAUAAUAUAGAAUACUUGGGCACCUCCUCCUGGGUGGCGCGAGAAAGCUUCGGCGGGGUGGGAUGGGCCCGCGGCCUGUUAGCUUGUUGGUGGGGUAAUGGCCUACCAAGGCAAUGAUGGGUAGCUGGGUUGAGAGGGUGACCAGCCAGAUUGGGACUGAGAUACGGCCCAGACUCCUACGGGAGGCAGCAGUGGGGAAUCUUGCACAAUGGGCGGAAGCCUGAUGCAGCAACGCCGCGUGCGGGAUGAAGGCCUUCGGGUUGUAAACCGCUUUCGGCAGGGACGAAGCGAAAGUGACGGUAAUUGGUGAAGAAGCCCCGGCUAACUACGUG